rnacentral:rRNA from 1 species
AAAGACGUAAUAGCCUGCGAUAAGCUCCGGGGAGGCGGCAAAUAUCCUGUGAUCCGGAGAUUUCUGAAUGGGGAAACCCACUUACCAUAAGGUAGGUAUUGCAACAUGAAUACAUAGUGUUGCAAGGCGAACGAGGGGAAGUGAAACAUCUCAGUACCCUUAGGAAAAGAAAUCAAUUGAGAUUCCCUCAGUAGCGGCGAGCGAAAGGGGAACAGCCCAUUAAGUCAUAUAAGUUCUAGUGGAAUGCUCUGGGAAGUGCAACCAUAGUGGGUGAUAGUCCUGUACACGAAAGGGCUUAUAUGAUGAUGUCGAGUAGGGCGGGGCACGUGAAACCUUGUCUGAAUAUGGGGGGACCAUCCUCCAAGGCUAAAUACUCCUGACUGACCGAUAGUGAACCAGUACCGUGAGGGAAAGGCGAAAAGAACCCCUGUGAGGGGAGUGAAAUAGAUCCUGAAACCGCAUGCAUACAAGCAGUGGGAGCCGGCAUUGUGUCCGGUGACUGCGUACCUUUUGUAUAAUGGGUCAGCGACUUAUGUUCAGUAGCAAGGUUAACCGAAUAGGGGAGCCGUAGAGAAAUCGAGUCUUAAUAGGGCGUUUAGUUGCUGGGCAUAGACCCGAAACCAGGUGAUCUAUCCAUGAGCAGGUUGAAGGUUGGGUAACACUAACUGGAGGACCGAACCCACUGUCGUUGAAAAGCCAGGGGAUGACUUGUGGAUAGGGGUGAAAGGCUAAUCAAACUUGGUGAUAGCUGGUUCUCCCCGAAAGCUAUUUAGGUAGCGCCUCGGACGAAUACCAUUGGGGGUAGAGCACUGUUUCGGCUAGGGGGUCAUCCCGACUUACCAAACCGAUGCAAACUCCGAAUACCAAUGAGUACUAUCCGGGAGACAGACUGCGGGUGCUAACGUCCGUAGUCAAGAGGAAAACAAUCCAGACCGCCAGCUAAGGCCCCAAAAUUAUAGUUAAGUGGGAAACGAUGUGGGAAGGCAUAGACAGCUAGGAGGUUGGCUUAGAAGCAGCCACCCUUUAAAGAAAGCGUAAUAGCUCACUAGUCGAGUCGGCCUGCGCGGAAGAUGUAACGGGGCUAAAACUAUAUGCCGAAGCUGCGGAUUUGCAAUUUAUUGCAAGUGGUAGGGGAGCGUUCUGUAAGCCGAUGAAGGUGGAUUGAGAAGUCUGCUGGAGGUAUCAGAAGUGCGAAUGCUGACGUGAGUAACGACAAAACGGGUGAAAAACCCGUUCGCUGAAAGACCAAGGGUUCCAGUCCAACGUUAAUCGGGGCUGGGUGAGUCGACCCCUAAGGCGAGGCCGAGAGGCGUAGUCGAUGGGAAAUUGGUUAAUAUUCCAAUACUUCUGUGUAAUGCGAUGAGAGGACGGAGAAAGUUAAGUCAGCC